GACGAACGCUGGCGGCGUGCUUAACACAUGCAAGUCGAACGAGUGGCGAACGGGUGAGUAACACGUGGGUGCUCUGCCUUGCACUUCGGGAUAAGCUUGGGAAACUGGGUCUAAUACCGGAUAGUGCAAGAUGAGCUCGCGGCCUAUCAGCUUGUUGGUGGGGUAAUGGCUACCAAGGCGCGACGGGUGGCCGGCCUGGGAGGGUGUACGGCCACAUUUGGACUGAGAGACGGCCCAGACUCCUACGGGAGGCAGCAGUGGGGAAUAUUGCACAAUGGGCGGAAGCCUGAUGGAGCGACGCCGCGGUAAUUC
rnacentral:rRNA from 1 species